CCAGCUGGGCUGAGAAAGAAGGCGGCACUCUGUUCACAAGCCUAGGACGAGCCCCCUUUUUGCUACCCUGUCAGUGUGGAGGGGAAGGAAAGAGAGAGAGAGCGCGUACGCGGACGAGAGAGAGAAAAAAAAAGGCGAGGAAACCGGAGAACAACUGUUUGACAGAGGCAGAGAGAACCAGGCGGGCUGCUGUGAGAAGUGAGAGAGCAGAAGGGAAGAAAUAAGGCACAGCAAUUGGAUCGCAAACGUGGGUCUAUUUCUUCUCCGGCCACAGGGGGCACACUCACUGCUUUUAUCCGCUCGACUUCUUGAUGAAACCCAGUGGACCGGACUAACCAAAUUACUGGAUUUAAGAAAAAAAAAACAACAAAAGAAAAACAUUUGUGUUGCGUCCUUAGAAGCAGAAACAAUUCCUCUGGGUUGGAGCAGUGCAAACUGAGAGGACCGUGAUCGCAUCUCGGCGUGGUCUGUUCAUCUGUCGGUGCUGAGGAUAUUCCGUCAAAGCCUCGGAUCAAAGUCCAGAGAAGAGAGAGAGAGCGCGUAGAUGAGAGCGAAGACCAUUAAAGCCGAGGCAAAAGUGAAAUAGCUCGGAGAGAGAAGUGAGCCAACCACGUCCUCUCCUGUGUUCCUUUUGCCAUCCCUUUUCUCCUCCUCUCGUCUUCCUCCUGUUCCUCACCCUUUUUUGCAAACAUCCCCCCCCCCCCAAAAAAAACGCCUGCUUCUCUGUCCUCUCCAUCCUCUACCCCUCCUUUUUAUCACAACUAACCGCGGCGGACCGGCACCGUACUCCCGAAUCAAGUUCUUGAGGGGGAUAUUUCAAUCAAGCUGAAGGACGAGUCCGCCUUAUACCGAGGCUGUGGACCACGUUGCCUCUCAUUGUUCUGUGCAGGACCUGGAUCUUGUGUUCCCUUUUGUAACACGGAAAGGAUUCUUACGAGCUACCCAAUCCUUCACUCCCACAGCUCCUUUCCCCUCUCCUCCCGUGUCAGCAUUCCCUGCCUCGGUGCUAAGGAUUCCAGCUACAUGGGCAAGCGAUUGGAGCAGCAGCCAAUGUACCCUCAGUACACCUACUAUUACCCCAAUUAUCUUCAGACCAAGCAGGCCUAUGCUCCACCCCCUCACCCCAUGGCUCCUCCCAGCCCCAGCACCAACAGCUGCAGCCAGGGAGGGGCGGAGCAGCUGAGUAAGACCAACCUGUACAUCCGAGGCCUGCCACCUGGGACCACCGACCAGGACCUCAUCAAGCUCUGCCAGCCGUAUGGAAAGAUAGUUUCAACAAAGGCCAUUCUGGAUAAGAACACCAACCAGUGCAAAGGCUACGGCUUUGUUGAUUUUGACAGCCCGGCUGCAGCACAGAAAGCCGUGUUGUCUCUCAAAGCCACGGGAGUGCAGGCGCAAAUGGCCAAGCAACAGGAGCAGGACCCUACCAACCUGUACAUCUCCAACCUACCCAUUUCCAUGGACGAGCAGGAGCUAGAGAACAUGCUGAAGCCUCUCGGGCACGUCAUCUCCACCAGGAUACUGAGGGAUGCCAACGGGGUCAGCAGGGGAGUUGGCUUCGCCAGGAUGGAAUCCACUGAGAAAUGUGAAGUAGUCAUUCAGCAUUUCAACGGAAAAUACCUGAAAACCCCACCAGGAAUUCCAACUCCCACAGAGCCUUUGCUGUGUAAAUUUGCAGACGGAGGCCAAAAGAAGCGCCAGAGCCAGAGCAAGUACCCUCAGAACGGGAGGCCGUGGCACAGAGAGGGCGAGACUGGGAUGGCGUUGACAUAUGAUCCAGCUGCAAUGCAGAACGGGUUCUACUCCUCGCCUUACAGCAUCGCCACCAACCGCAUGAUCGCACAAACCUCCAUCACGCCCUUCAUCGCUGCUUCCCCAGUUUCCACAUAUCAGGUCCAGAGCACAUCAUGGAUGCCUCAUCAACAAUAUGUUAUGCAACCUACAGGUGCAGUGAUCACGCCAGCAAUGGACCACACAAUGUCCAUGCAGCCUGCCAGCAUGAUGGCACCCCUCACCCAACAAAUGAACCAUCUGUCCCUGGGUACCACAGGAAGUUACAUGACUGCCGCAGCGCCUAUGCAAGGGACCUACAUCCCCCAGUACACUCCUGUGCCUCCGACGGCCGUCCCUGUCGAAGGCGUGGUGACUGACGCCUCCCCCCAGACGGCAGCUCCCUCAUCACAGGAAGUGGGCGGGCAGCAGCAACAGAUUCAGGUGGACAGUGCCGCUGAACACGCUUACUCAUACCAGUCCAAAUAACAACGGCCUCAAAGAAUGUUCCUGUGACAGCGUUGCCUUGAGACAUGAGGUGGCUGCACUGUGAAUGAGAAAUGCACCCAGGAAUAUGAAUCUCUUCCCUGCUGUCCACAAGGCGGCACAAAAUAGCUCGCCUGGCUUCACCGUCUCUCACAGUCGGACACGAGGCUCAAUAACUCAUCACACACACAAGCAGGGACCUCCCACUUCUUGAUUGAUGCCUCGCUUCACUUUUGAUGAAGGCGUACUGAUUGCUGUUUCAUCCCCAUGAAAAAAAAAAAAAUUACCAAAUGACUAAAACAUUUACCUGCUUUUGUUUUCACUUCUGUUGCUAUUUUUCAUGGUUGUUGUUUGAGUGGUCACCUGCUGCACAGUGGGAACUUUAAGUGUGUACAUCAGUGGGUGUGAAAUGGGUUGAUUCAGUUUACUUUUGUUUUCCUCUCUGAUGAAGCUUUCAAUUAAAAAAAAAAAAGUGUAAAAAAAAAGCACC